rnacentral:rRNA from 1 species
AGUGAACGCUGGCGGUAGGCCUAACACAUGCAAGUCGAACGGCAGCACAGGAGAGCUUGCUCUCUGGGUGGCGAGUGGCGGACGGGUGAGGAAUACAUCGGAAUCUACUUUUUCGCGGGGGAUAACGUAGGGAAACUUACGCUAAUACCGCAUACGACCUACGGGUGAAAGCAGGGGACCUUCGGGCCUUGCGCGAUUGAAUGAGCUGAUGUCGGAUUAGCUAGUUGGCGGGGUAAAGGCCCACCAAGGCGACGAUCCGUAGCUGGUCUGAGAGGAUGAUCAGCCACACUGGAACUGAGACACGGUCCAGACUCCUACGGGAGGCAGCAGUGGGGAAUAUUGGACAAUGGGCGCAAGCCUGAUCCAGCCAUACCGCGUGGGUGAAGAAGGCCUUCGGGCUGUAAAGCCCUUUUGUUGGGAAAGAAAUCCAGCUGGCUAAUACCCGGUUGGGAUGACGGUACCCAAAGAAUAAGCACCGGCUAACUUCGUGCCAGCCGCCGCCGUAA